UGCAAGGAGUUUUCCGCGCAGCCUAUUUGAGAUUGACAGCAAAUGUCAAAAAAAGCGAAGGGAGCCGAAUGCGAUCUGCCCAAACCAUCAUGUUCAAGGCAUAAAGGACCCUGCUCUUGGUUUGAUAUACGCCAUGAAUGUGUUUCCCCAAACCAUUCUCAAGUUGCUCCCCACCAUCUGUAACCCUCUCACAUAGCCAACACAGAGGCAUUCCGGGACUUAAUGGCAUAAACGACAGGAAAAUGAAACACCACCUCCAACCUAAGCAGAGCCAACAGACUCCAUGAACACGUCGGAUCCGAUUAUCUUGAAGAGGAUCGCUUUUGUUCUUUGAACUUCUACGCAGGCCGCUCUCGGCGAAAAGAAAUGGGCGGUAAACUCUGCUGAAUCAUUCUAGUAGAGAUUAUCAUCUCCCAAAACUGCAGAAGGCAGUUUGUGGCCAUUGAACUUUUAUGUAGACUACCCAUUCCAUCAAGCCACUUUAGCGGCAAGAAAAUCGUUGUAUCCUAUAUGCUCCUACGUUUAGAUGAAAACCUCAACUACUGAGCUUUUCCAGGACC
rnacentral:sRNA from 1 species